rnacentral:lncRNA from 1 species
ACGCUAUGGGGGUGGUUAGAUCUUCUCAAGAUAUUUGAGAAUUUGUUCUCAGUUGGGAAAUUGCAACAAUGAUCGGCGACUCGAUCUUUGUGCCAAAGUGUACGUGCCAUUGCAGUGGAUUCAGAGUUAAAUUGCAGUGGCACUCAAGUGGGAAUUGUAUCUGCAGAUCUGACGCUGAUGGUCUAGCUUAACCACUUUAUUCGGGAGGAAGAUUCCACACUUAGA